UACGAAGGGGGCUAGCGUUGCUCGGAAUCACUGGGCGUAAAGCGCACGUAGGCGGCUUUUUAAGUCAGAGGUGAAAUCCUGGAGCUCAACUCCAGAACUGCCUUUGAUACUGGAGAGCUUGAGUCCGGGAGAGGUGAGUGGAACUGCGAGUGUAGAGGUGAAAUUCGUAGAUAUUCGCAAGAACACCAGUGGCGAAGGCGGCUUUCUGGACGGUAACUGACGCUGAGACGCGAAAGCGUGGGGAGCAAACAGG
rnacentral:rRNA from 1 species